GGCGAACGCUGGCGGCGUGCCUAAUACAUGCAAGUUGAGCGAUGAAGAUUGGUGCUUGCCCCAAUUUGAAGAGCAGCGAACGGGUGAGUAACGCGUGGGGAAUCUGCCUUUGAGCGGGGGACAACAUUUGGAAACGAAUGCUAAUACCGCAUAAUAACUUUAAACAUAAGUUUUAAGUUUGAAAGAUGCAAUUGCAUCACUCAAAGAUGAUCCCGCGUUGUAUUAGCUAGUUGGUGAGGUAAAGGCUCACCAAGGCGAUGAUACAUAGCCGACCUGAGAGGGUGAUCGGCCACAUUGGGACUGAGACACGGCCCAAACUCCUACGGGAGGCAGCAGUAGGGAAUCUUCGGCAAUUGACGAAAGUCUGACCGAGCAACGCCGCGUGAGUGAAGAAGGUUUUCGGAUCGUAAAACUCUGUUGGUAGAGAAGAACGUUGGUGAGAGUGGAAAGCUCAUCAAGUGACGGUAACUACCCAGAAAGGGACGGCUAACUACGUG
rnacentral:rRNA from 1 species